rnacentral:lncRNA from 1 species
GUUGAACGUAGGCAGCCGGCCUGGCAUCUUGGGCUGAAGCCGCUUGCUUUUUCCACAGGGCGGCUGGGCCGGCUGGGGUGGGGGGGGGGGGGGGGAGGGCCGGGCCGAGGACUCCUGGAUUCCGCCUUGUGACCCCAAGUUCCCGGAACUCUGCCCGGAGAGAACCAGCACGUCCCUGAGCGGUGCCUCUAGGCAGGUCACUAUGACAUCAGGAAGCCGACCAUCCCUGACUGUGAAUGGAUUUCAUUACCAAAAUCCAAGCACCCCCCACUCUUCUGUGUGACUUGAGCAAGAACCUUCACUUCUCUGGGCUU